rnacentral:rRNA from 1 species
GAGUUUGAUCGUGGCUCAGAUUGAACGCUGGCGGCAUGCCUUACACAUGCAAGUCGAACGGUAACAGGUCUUCGGAUGCUGACGAGUGGCGAACGGGUGAGUAAUACAUCGGAACGUGCCCGAUCGUGGGGGGAUAACGGAGCGAAAGCUUUGCUAAUACCGCAUACGAUCUACGGAUGAAAGCAGGGGACCGCAAGGCCUUGCGCGGACGGAGCGGCCGAUGGCAGAUUAGGUAGUUGGUGGGAUAAAAGCUUACCAAGCCGACGAUCUGUAGCUGGUCUGAGAGGACGACCAGCCACACUGGGACUGAGACACGGCCCAGACUCCUACGGGAGGCAGCAGUGGGGAAUUUUGGACAAUGGGCGAAAGCCUGAUCCAGCCAUGCCGCGUGCAGGAUGAAGGCCU